rnacentral:rRNA from 1 species
UGGUGGGUAGUUUGACUGGGGCGGUCUCCUCCUAAAGAGUAACGGAGGAGCACGAAGGUCAGCUAAUCCUGGUCGGACAUCAGGAGGUUAGUGCAAUGGCAUAAGCUGGCUUGACUGCGAGCGUGACGGCGCGAGCAGGUGCGAAAGCAGGUCAUAGUGAUCCGGUGGUUCUGAAUGGAAGGGCCAUCGCUCAACGGAUAAAAGGUACUCCGGGGAUAACAGGCUGAUACCGCCCAAGAGUUCAUAUCGACGGCGGUGUUUGGCACCUCGAUGUCGGCUCAUCACAUCCUGGGGCUGAAGUAGGUCCCAAGGGUAUGGCUGUUCGCCAUUUAAAGUGGUACGCGAGCUGGGUUUAGAACGUCGUGAGACAGUUCGGUCCCUAUCUGCCGUGGGCGCUGGAGAAUUGAGGGGGGCUGCUCCUAGUACGAGAGGACCGGAGUGGACGCAUCACUGGUGUU